UACGACUAUAUACAGCACCUUCCUCGGUGUA
rnacentral:piRNA from 1 species